rnacentral:lncRNA from 1 species
GUGUUGCACGGUAAUAGGAUUAUUCCAUAGGAAAAGAAGAGGAUGAGAGGACAUUACUACCUGAUGGGGAGCCCAGUGUGAGGUGGAGUUUCAGGAGUGAGGUGGAGCUCAAAGCGAGGUGGAGCUCCAGGUGGAGGUGGAUUGGCACGAGAUGCAAGACUUGAGAAGAUGAGAGGCGAUAUUACAGGGUGAGAUUCCUAUUGCCGCAGGAUGAUAUCCCGAACAGGUCUC